GCCACCACCGGGGACAUAGUCGUACAGAAAAUAUUGUGUUAAAUCGCAAAUGUUAACUGUAAGACUGUGUCUCUGUUGAUGCU
rnacentral:pre_miRNA from 1 species